GGUUAGUGAACUACAAAAUUAAAUACCAGACAUUAAAUGAAACAAAUAAAAUACAGAUAACUUAACUAUGAUCAUGACAUCUUUCUUGAAAGUUCUUAUUCAGUGUUUGCAGGUUUUCACUUUAAGAUAAUGACUGUAAGAAAAGAGGAUACUUGGAUGAAUGAGAUUUUUUUCAACUCUCUCAAUAAAGAAAAUAUAGAUUUCAUCUCAUAUCAUACCAAACCUGAAUCAGAAAAAUCAGUCCUUAUCUUCCUCAGAGAUGUAACUGUUGAUUCUUGCCAAACACUCUGCUCUGUUUUGUAGAUUUCUGUGAAUUUUCAGGUCUGCCUUCGCAGCAGCAGCCCUCUUUCCCUGGAAAUGAUCUGCAGCUCUUCACUCUUUUUUCAUUCAGUGUCGAAGCCACAUCUUGAGGCCCACAUCUGACACAGGAAGCAGAGGGGGAAAUGUUAGGACACUGAUUGUUUAUCCGUGGGCGGUUUCAGCCCGGUGACCUUUUUCUACACUGAAGCUGCAAGGUGUAAAGUUUCACUUUCAAACAAUACCGUUCAGCUAUCUCUGACACAGAUUGUUAUCAAUACCCCGUACGUUGCACAUCUCUGCAGAAAGGAGCAUAAGUUCAGCUAUCUUUUACACUGACAUGAAGCUGUAUUUUAUGAGUAAAUGUUCAGAAGCUGCAGCUUUUCUUGGUAAGUGAAAUCACCUCACGCAGGGGUGACGUCUGCAGCUGCAUUCCUGCUCAAGUGUCUUUCUCUUACGAGCGAGGGGAAACAGAGAGUCCUUAUGGCGGUUUGUUUGAUUGAACGCAGCCUUUCACUUGACUUUUUGGUGAUUAAUAAAACUAAUGCACCCCUCUCUGGGGGAAAUGUCAAGCCUGCAAACGAUGUUCAAUAAACAUCCAGACAAUCUGUAUCCACGUCUGGUCAACGUCAACGGGCUGGAGCGAGACGGUUCAGCACAAGCAGUGACACAAACCAUGAGAGGGACAUUUGAACUUUUCCCCUCCUGGCAUUAUUAAUUUGCGGGUUGUUUCAUUUCAUUGAGACGGAGAUAAAUCUGUCAGAGCUGCUGCCUGCACUCACUGAAGCGAGGAAGAGUGUUAAUGUCGCUGCAAAACACCAGCCGAGGAUUCCCUUAAAUUCAUACUUAAGAGGAAUAGCAGCUGUGUGAUGCAUGCAAAGGGUGUGUGUACAGUUGGAUAUGUCUCUGUGUGAGUGUGUGUGAGUUGGCUAGUUGGAGUACAGUGACUCUGAAACCAAAACGAGCCCAGCCCACUCCCACAGUGGAAAGAAUGAUGAGUUAUUCUGUAAAUGACACUAUUGACCAAACAGAUGCUGAUGCCUGAGGUGAGACACUGGGCAUUGUGUGUUUGUGUUAGUGUGUGUGUGUGUGUGUGUGUGCGGCAACUGGAUGCAUGUGUGAGUCACCUUUUGCGUGCAGUAGCUCGCCAUCCAAACAUUUUUAAUUUCUGUUUUCCUGAAUGAGCGCUCCUCCUGCAGAUUUACACUGGACACCGUGAGCGCGGCCUCCUGUGGAGUGUUUGGUUUGUAAAUCCUCACUCAUCUUUUGUGGUUUCAGUGUGUGUGUGUGUGUGUGUGCAAUGAGGGGGCUGGUCCCCUUGUUAUACUCACACAGUAUGCUCCUAAUCAAAUCAACCACAGAGGAAGUUGUUUACGGUGUGUAGGUGCGUGUGUGUGUCCGCAGCCGGUGGGUCCGUAUCGUGUGAUUGCAGGUGUGGACAGAUGCAUGCCAUGCUUCAGUUUAUGAGUGUGUAAGUGGGUGAGUAAGUGCGCUGUGUGAGAGUGCCUGAGCGAGUGUUUUGCGUGAGAGGCUAUCUCUCUUCAUGUGGUCACUGGAUCUUGCCACAGUUAGCAUAAUUGUGUUUACAGUAAAGCUUCUGCCUACUUCUGGCUGGCGCUGAAACGUACACUUACUGGAUCAGAAUCAAACCGGCGGCCAACAGCCCGAGUGUGGGAUUGAAAGAGUGUUUCGGCUUUCAGGUCCAAAAAAACACAAAAGACUUGUUUCAGCAUUAAUCUGUUUAAGGUUGUCAAACUUUAAAUUUAGUUUGUUUGAAAUUAAAAGCGUGAAUCAGCACUGACUCUGACAUGUGAACUGAGCUUUUCCAUGAGUGUCAGGACGUGCCCACGCUAAAAUAUGGAAAUUAAACAAGACUGUUUUUUUCUCCACUGGGCCCACGGACACGUUGAGAAAUUGUGUAGAAAUGCAAGGAUGCAUUGCAAAUUUAAUUUACAAUAAAUUUUUGACUAGUUUUUGCAUGGCUCAGAGAAUCUUUCACCAAAACAAAACCAAAAUCGUUUUAUUGACAUGGUGCACCAAAUUUCUGCCGUCUUGAUGUUUCUGCUUUUGCUUUGGUGCCCAUAUAAUAAAUGUUUCAUGAGAAGGGACCAGGUAUGAGCGGCAGCUGAAGCGGUGGGCGACCCACCAAGUUGGUCUUUGCAUGAGACGAAUGAAUCACUGCAGAAUAAAGGGGGCGAGCAGGAGAAAACAAGAUGUUACCGUGGUUACACCGCAAGAGGUACUGACACAGAUACACUGUGCUUUCUGAAACUUCCUGUCCUUGACUUUUGAGAUGGUCGGCUUUGCUUUCACUCCUCUGAUGAACUAGGGUUUGCUUAGUAGUGAACUAAGACCCUCUUUUUCAAACGGACCAGAAUUUGUUUCUGACUAUUUAAUGUUACAGAAUAAAUGGACCAUCUUGUCUCCACUCUGCUCAGGCACAUUGAAAUGUAACCGUAAAGAGCUGUCAAAGAACCCAAAGAACUUUCUCUUUUUACUAAAUGAACCAAAAUGAUCUGGAUCAUGAGAAAGAGCCACCCUCUUUGGGCUUGGGGCCUCUAAGCCAAGGGAGUAGGUUUGAUUUUGACAUUGGUGGGGACACAAUCCUGUUCCACAAACACACACAUGCACGCAAACCAACACAAACACAAAUAUAAAUGACACCACUGAUAUUAAAAUCUGUUGAAGCUGACAUGACCCAGGCACAAUAUGCCAAACAUGUUGACAGCUUACACACUUACACUGAGUCAGGGUUAGGGUUAAGGGGUUUGGGGUUGGGGUUAGGGUUUGGUUUAUUCAUUAGGGUUAGGGUUAAGGUUAGUGUUAGGGGGUUAGGGUUAGUGUCAAUGUUAGGGUUAGGGGUUGGUGUUAGGGGGUUAGGGUUAGGAGUUAGGUUAGGGAGUUAGGGUUAGGGUUAGGAGUUAGGUUAGGGGGUUAGGGUUAGUUUUAGGGUUAGGGGUUGGAGGUAGGUUAGGGUUAGGCAUUAGGGUUAGGGGUUAGGGUUAAGGUUAGUGUUAGGGGUUAGGGAGUUUGGGUUAGGGUUAGGGGUAAGGGUAAGGGUUAGGGUUCGUGUUAGGGUUAGGGGUUGGGUCAGGGGUUAAGGGGUUAGGGAGAAACCGGCAGCUGAUGGAAGAGUGAUAUUCAGGUUAGGGUUAGGGUGAGGGGUUAGGGUUAGGGAGAAACCGGCAGCCAAUUGAAGAGCGAUAUUUAGGUUAGAGGCGGGACUUCUUUUAGAGACCGACUGUUAACCCUUUGUGUGCCAUAAUCAUUGAUUAAACACUACGGAGAGCAGUUUUAUUGAUAGGGACUACACUGUAGCAGCUGAUUAUUGGUAGAGACUUGUCAUUAGCAUCCCUACCCAAUUCUACGCCCAUUCUCCAAGCUUACGUUCCUGAUCGGACACAGACCUUUCUGACCAAAUCACCUGUUAGGAUGUUGGACAGUUUUGCUGUCUAGUGAAAAGCUAAACCCAUCCCUGGUGAGUGGAGCCUAUAUGACCCGGGUGACCUUAAAACCAGCUUGGCCAUCCAGAACCUCCCUAAAAGCUGUUCAGAUGGCUAUAUGAAGCUUUUAUUUUUGUUUGAAAUUUAAAAUGAUCAUGAUUGAAAGCGGGGCUUAGAAAACCUCGAUAAGUAAGCUCGCUCAAUGUGUGCAGUAAUAUAUGUGACUGAGUCAGACUCGGCUCUUUGAUUCUUCUUCCUCUGUCUGCUCUUCAGUCAGAAGUUUCCCUUCCAUCUUUGGGACCUGAAACUCAAUAUCUCUGAUUCUUUAAAUAACACGCAGCAGUGUUUACACUGAAGAUGUUUCUCCAAAUCAAACCUUUGCGCAUGAAGAGCUUGUAUAAAAUCCUGUCUGUUAGGAAUGAACAUGGUCUAUUCUUGGUCGAGCUUCUUCGUCACAAACCUGUCUCAGUGUUUUGAGGUAUUGUAAACCUAACUCGCUCUGGCAGGUCUUUGGUUUCAUGGUUCAAUCUCAUUUCCCUCAAUCUAAACACGCUCUUCAUCAUCUUCAGGAUGCCCUUCAUGAUCAUUCCACAAUUAGCGAGCCGGACGUUUUUCUCUCCGAAGCAUCACUCCGAUUUUCCUUCAAUCUUUUCCAAAACAAGCGAUGAUAAAUAUGAGUCAAUCCGAAUAAAAACGCCGAUCAGAGCGCCAAAGAGAGAAGUGUUUACCUCGAGCAGACUUUACACUCUGGGAUUUCUGAGAGCUUUUGUUUGAGAUGAAACACUGAUUGAGGUUGAUUGAGCCUCAAACCACGCUCCCUGCUGAGAUUUAAUUCUUCCUGUAAACCGCUCUGAUUUUGUUGAUUUUGCAAUUUAAAGAAUACCCCGCGGGCAGAUUAGGGGAAAUGGAUACCUGUUAGUGUGAUUAGGGUCUCGACACACGCACACAUCAAAGACGGAUUACAAGAAAUCUAUGAAUAUCAUGUUUUUUCCCAUGUUUUCAGCUGUCUUUGAGUGCUGCGCUGUCAACGGGUUCAUCACCCUGGUCGUGUUAAUUCCAAACAGCUGUUUGCGUUCGCGCUUGGGUGUCUAUGCCUUCAUGUAAUCGUGCAUAAAUCAAAGUGUGAUGCUCUCCCAGACUGACUUUAACCCCAGCACACCCCAGCACACAGACAGACGCUUGUUGAUUCCUGGAUUCCUCUCUCUAAUCUGCUACCGCCGCUGUGGUUAGCUGCAGACAAACAAGACACAGGGCUGCAGGGAAACAGCCCUACAUGACAUGUUUGUUCCCAAUCAAUGCAAUGAUUAGCUGGGAACAAAUAGGGUCCUCUCAGGUGAUGCAUCCCCAGAACAUACGUCACCUACAACUCAUAACUGUGGUCUUGCUUCUGGUUAAUUCUGCAAUACGUACGGUAUUUUGAGUCUGAUCCCACCCCACGCUCAAGUGGAUUCUGGUAAAAAGGAUGUUUGGCAGAGGGGCACGAUCUCAUGUCAAUAACUCUGCGGGUGGAAGUUUUUACUAGCUCUCAGUGUGCGUCCUGUUGUAUAAGUUUGUGUGUGUGUGCAUGCUGUUGUGUUUCCUCUUCUUCUCUUUUUGUACAAAUGCCACGAUAGCUCUCACUGCAGAGUCAGAGCCAUAUGUUUGUCCGCACGGUCUCACAAACACUUCAGUCAUCGAGGGUCAGAGUAGGAGCAGAGUGAGAGGAGCGGUGAUGAAAUGGAAGAAAAAAAAGACGAUGAAAGCGAGAGCUGCAGGGGCUUUAAACGAAAAGAGAAACAACGAGUUGCAUAAGAGAAAACGGAGGAGAUAAAACCACGUCAUGCAGCUGUGAUCAAAGUGACGAACUGCAAAUGUCGACCGUGAUCAUUCUCAACCACUGCAUCCAAUCACCUGCAAUCAACCAGACUUUCUUAAAAGACCGAAGAGUGCGAUACGUGACAGACUACAAUAUGUAAUCAGAUGAUCCAAUACAAAAGGAAACACAUGGUAAUGAAACGCCACUCUUUAUUCUGUCAGUUUUAUGAACGCGGUGGAUCUACGGUUGUUUUUUGGUGUGUCAGAGAGGGCAGAGCUUUAUCCCAUUGUUUGUGACAGACUGGAAUGAUCGGCCGCUCGGGGAUGAGUGUGGCUUUUCAGCCUGGCUCCUGCAAAUGGAUGACAGCCGCUCUGUGACAGGAUGUUUGUCAUGUUACAGGAAGUGAACUGGGACUGCUGGGCUGAAGCCCCAAACAAACAUCUUUACAACUUAGUCAAAAUCACGGAAAGCAUGGUUUCUGACAUCUGAGUUCACUCUGUGCCACUAUAACAGCGGAGAGAGUGGCACAAACUUUGGUCGGCUUUGCACCUUAUUGUUUUUCUGAGGCCGUGAUUUGUUCAUUUGUAUUUUUAUUUGACCUUUAUUUAGCCAGGAUAAAAACUUGUUGAGGUUUGAGUCUAGUUUUUCCAAGUAUCUUGGCCUGAAAAACAGCUGUAGAGCUAACACUGAGCAGUCAUAUGAUAAACAUGAUAAAAGGUUUGUGACUGUAACAGAUUCAAAGAAAAGUGAAACCUGCAAAUAUUUAUCCAGAUCUAUCACAAUUAUAAACAUCUACAGCCAGAUGUGUCUGCCUUCGAAUUGUUGAAAAAACACCUAAAAACUCACUUUCACUCGGGGAGCAGCAGACCUAAAAGGGGCAUUUCAGUGUUUUUUGAGAUACAUGUCUUUUCAAGGUGUUUUAGCCAAAGUGAAUCUUGGUCAGCUCUACCGCUUUCAUAAGGAACUGCUGGAGGAACCGUCACAUAUGCACGGCUACAGUUUUGUACAGAUGGGGCGAUUCUGCUAUGUGCUUAAGCUAAUUUUAGAGACUCAGAUCCAAGCCCUCAUCUUAGUUUAACUAGGGUGAUCAUACGUCCUCUUUUACCCGGACAUGUCCUUCUUUUGGGGGGCUGUCCACUUUGUCCAGGGAAGUUUAUAAAAUCCUUUAAAUGUCCGCGGUUUUGUACGUACGUUUUGAGUUUGUGUCACGUGGACUUACUGAGUUAAAAAUGUGUAAAAGACACUCGAUCUGACCUGAAAAACUCUCAAAAUUAACCCCAACAUAGUUGUGUCCUUUUUUAGGGAAGUCAGAAUAUGGUCACCCAAGUUUAAGCGUAAGCUCUACCCAAAUUUUUAAGCACUUAACCGUGCCAUCAGAAAAUUAAAUUCGUAAUUUUAACAUGACUUAAAACAAUCAAUUUAUCAUGCAUUGAGCUUCAUGUAUGGGCAGUUAGCUGGUUUGAACCUGAGAUUAAGUCUAAAACAAAACAGGAUGGCACACUUUUUGGUUUAUGAUUGACUGGCAUUCAUCAACAUUCGCAUAAACCUAUGAACAAGUCUGAGUUUUCUGCCAUAUUCGUGAAAUUAGUAUAGGUUUUUAUGUAUUCAACAAAACCACGUGAUUAGUAAGAAAGCAGAGUAUAAACCUCUAAAAAACAAACCAUGUCUCAGGCAUAUUAGCACACAAGGAAAGAAAUCUAGACUAUUCUCUGUGUUCUGUAAAGACUCAAAUAUUUAGUGUUGAGUACAUCCCCGAGUAGCUUGAGAUUGUAACAUUAUUUUUAUGGCAUUUUAAAGAGGCUGCAAAUCUAGAUUGUUCCCCGGGACCUGCCACUUUUAGGGCCUGUGCAGGAAACAGAGAAAUGCAUUGUUUUUACAGAGUUUCAGGGAUUAAGAAAGAACACAUAAAUUAAAAGGCUAAGACCUGCUAAUGGAAGUUUCCUGAGCAGAUUUCACAGAUUCAGCAAACUCCAACACCCCACUGAUCAGCUCACGGAUACGUUCUUGUAGUAUUGGUGAACAAACCAAAUCCCUGCA